rnacentral:tRNA from 1 species
GUGGCUAGCUCAGUCAGUAGAGCAUGUGACUCUUGAUCUUAGGGUUGUGAGUUCAAGUCCCAUGCUGGACA